CAGAACAUUUAGGCGCUGACUGAAAAUUUAUUGGCGCUGCGUUAAUUUCCUUUUCCUUUUCCCUAAUUCUAUAGAAUUUUCCCUCUUCUUCGUCUUUCACCUUUCCCUCUUCUUCAUCUCUCACGUUUCCCUCUGAUCUUACAUCUAGCAGUUAUCUUGGUUUGAUUAAGAAUCUGAUUUUUUUCUCCCUUUUCUUGGACGGUUAAACUUUGCACCUCUUGCUUCCUCAGAAUUUUGUGGGUUUAUCCACUGCUGAUGGUUAUAUAAAAUGUGGUUCAAAAACAAAUGAGGGGUUGCAAGGGGUGCGGGAUUCUGCAAUCGGCGCUCACGUUGGGUCUCUUCAUCUUCUUCUUUGAUCUCUCGCGUUCUCCCUCGGAUCUCCUCUGCAAUCCGUGGCCAGCACCCUAGAACCCGCAGAUGAAACUUUCGAGGGAACAGGAUUCUUUGGCAAUGACUGCAAAGAAACUUGGCCGUGAUUUGGCAAAGAUCCGUGAUGCUUGAGGGUUUUUUGAUGUAAUGCUCUGAGGGGAGAUGGUGCUACUAUCAAUUGGCUUCAAGGAUCAUCCCAUCGUCAAUGGACGGAUGCCAAUUUUAGUCAUGGAAAAAAAGAAAGCGUUUCUGGAAAAGUUUCAAGCUUCAAGGUUUUUCCCGAUUGCGAUCGAGCGGCCCACCUUGUGCGAUCGAGCGCACUACCAGACAAUAGCUACGUUCCAGCACUUUGGGCCAUUUACCCUCCCAAGACCCCAUCGAGACUUGACCGGGACCAGCCCAGGACUGCGCAGGGACCUGUCCGAGACUUGACCGGACCCGCCCGAGACCCCGUCUGCGCUUGACCAGGACCUGCCCAGGCCACCCAGGGACCUGACCGGGACUCAGCCCGGACCCGCCCAAGACUCGAUUGUUAAGUGCUAAAAUAUUCAUAUUUUUAGCCCUUAUCUUACAUGUGUUAAUCCUUUAGUUUUGGUUAAUUUAUGCCAUUUUAGUUCUUUUAUGUGUUUUCCUUAAUUUUGUAGGUCAUUCGAAGAAAAAGAAGCAAUCUCAGAAGUUUCGGACUUAAAAGAGCUAUUUUGGGAAUAUUGGAGGUGCUAGUAGUGCGAUUGAUCGCAGGGGAGCUACGAUUAAGUGCACUACAGGCGAAGACCACGAGUGCAAGGCACCUGCGAUCGAGCACCCAGCACAACAAGAUUGAUAACAGUCCUACAAUCGAUCACACAUGAGUUGCGAUCGAGCGCACCCGUGCGUAAUGAGCAAGUCAACCGCCAGCCUUGAUAUGGAAAGUGCAAUUUUUAGGGUUUUGUAACUUAGUGCGAACUAUGGCUCAAACCCUACGUUUUUAAGGGUUACUGUAGUAUUCCUAAGGCCUAUAAAUAGACCCUUAAACCUUUAGAAGAGAGACACAAUUUCCAAGGAAAAGAAUUGGAGUUCUUCAAGUUCAAGUUUCGGGUUUAUUCUUUUCCUUUAUUUUAUGAAGAUGUUUAACAUCAAACUUAUGUGUAACUAAUUUAUUUAGUAGGGUUAGAUUGAAGCCCUAGUUAUGUUUAAUUAAUAUUCAAUA